rnacentral:rRNA from 1 species
UACGGAGGAUGCAAGCGUUAUCCGGAUUUAUUGGGUUUAAAGGGUGCGUAGGCGGGAAAUUAAGUCAGUGAUGAAAUCCUGCAGCUUAACUGUAGAAUUGUUAUUGAUACUGGUUUCCUUGAAUGCAGUUGAGGCAGGCGGAAUGUGUAAUGUAGCGGUGAAAUGCUUAGAUAUUACACAGAACACCGAUUGCGAAGGCAGCUUGCUAAACUGUGAUUGACGCUGAGGCACGAAAGCGUGGGGAGCAAACAGGAUUAGAAACCCUAGUAGUCC